UGCUAUUUGGGUGAGAAUAAGCCAUGCGAGUUGAAUGGGAUACCUAAAUUUCCCAUAGCAAACUGCUCAGUAACACAUGAUCAACUUACCCUGUAGAGAAAAAUAACCUCGGGAAACUGAGGAUAAUAUUUCAUAAUUGAAUUGGCUUGGAAAAGUUUUUCAAUGAAAAGGAUAAAAAAAAUGGUUUUUAUCUGCUAUAGGAUAGGAUCAUGUUCGAUUAUGGUUGUUGGUGAGGUAAUGGCUCACCAAGCCGAUAAUCGAUAGGGGCCGUGAGAGCGGGAGCCCCGAUAUCGGGCCCUACGAGGCGCAGCAGGCGCGAAAACUCCACAAUGCGCGAAAGUACGAUGAGGUAACCCAAAGUGUCAGCUAGUAAGAACUGGUGUUAGGUUGUGUAAUGUCCCCUACUAGAAAGGAGAGGGCAAGGCUGGUGCCAGCCGCCGCGGUAAAACCAGCUCUUCAAGUGGUCGGGAUAAUUAUUGGGCUUAAAGUGUCCGUAGCCGGUUUAGUAAGUUCCUGGUAAAAUCGGGUAGCUUAACUAUCUGCAUGCUAGGAAUACUGCUAUACUAGAGGGCGGGAGAGGUCUGAGGUACUACAGGGGUAGGGGUGAAAUCUUAUAAUCCUUGUAGGACCACCAGUGGCGAAGGCGUCAGACUGGAACGCGCCUGACGGUGAGGGACGAAAGCCAGGGGAGCGAACCGGAUUAGAUACCCGGGUAGUCCUGGCCGUAAACGAUGCAUACUAGGUGAUGGUAUGGCCAUGAGCCAUAUCAGUGCCGUAGGGAAACCGUUAAGUGUGCCGCCUGGGAAGUACGGUCGCAAGGCUAAAACUUAAAGGAAUUGGCGGGGGAGCAC
rnacentral:rRNA from 1 species